UACGUAGGGGGCAAGCGUUGUCCGGAAUUAUUGGGCGUAACGCGCGUGUAGGCGGCUCGGUAAGUCUGCUGUGAAAGUCCAGGGCUCAACCCUGGAAUGCCGGUGGAUACUGUCGAGCUCGAGUCCGGAAGAGGCGAGUGGAAUUCCUGGUGUAGCGGUGAAAUGCGCAGAUAUCAGGAGGAACACCAAUGGCGAAGGCAGCUCGCUGGGACGGUACUGACGCUGAGACGCGAAAGCGUGGGGAGCAAACAGG
rnacentral:rRNA from 1 species